rnacentral:sRNA from 1 species
AUCAACUUUCGAUGGUAGGAUAGAGGCCUACCAUGGUGGUAACGGGUAACGGGGUGUUAGGGCACGACACCGGAGAGGGAGCCUGAGAAACGGCUACCACAUCCAAGGAUGGCAGCAGGCGCGCAAAUUACCCAAUCCCGACACGGGGAGGUAGUGACAAUAAAUAACAAUACGGGGUUCUUUCGGAUCUCGUAAUUGGAAUGAGUACAAUUUAAAUCUCUUAACGAGGAACAAUUGGAGGGCAAGUCUGGUGCCAGCAGCCGCGGUAAUUCCAGCUCCAAUAGCGUAUAUUAAAGUUGUUGCAGUUAAAAAGCUCGUAGUUGAAUUUCGGGGUUAGUAAGUUGGUCGUGCCUUCGGUAUGUACUGGCUUUACUGAUUCCUCCUUCUUGUAGAACCUUAAUGCCAUUAAUUUGGUGUUGUGGGGRARCAGGACUGUUACUUUGAAAAAAUUAGAGUGUUUAAAGCAAGCUAACGCUUGAAUACAUUAGCAUGGAAUAAUGAAAUAGGACGAUUGAUCCUAUUUUGUUGGUUUCUAGGAUUGACGUAAUGAUUAAUAGGGAUAGUUGGGGGCAUUAGUAUUCAAUUGUCAGAGGUGAAAUUCUUGGAUUUAUUGAAGACUAACUACUGCGAAAGCAUUUGCCAAGGAUGUUUUCAUUAAUCAAGAACGAARGUUAGGGGAUCGAAGACGAUCAGAUACCGUCGUAGUCUUAACCAUAAACUAUGCCGACUAGGGAU